AAAAAAAACUGAAAUAAAAUGAAAGCAAAACAUUUUCCAAAACUGUAAUUUUUGACAGUUUUACAGAGUUCCCAAGAUCAUAUCAGUCACAGUGGCUAGUGGUAGUUCGAAAGAGAUUAAGAUGGAGCUGCACACAAAACACGGAAGGAAAAUAAUCUUUUCGCAAUUGAUCACUAGUGCAGCCUGGUACCGAACGUGAAGAAUUUUUUGCAUAUCGAUAUAUUAUGGUAAGUAAAAAAAUCUAAAUAUUUUUCAAAAUAGGGGGUUACAGAUUUUAUGUGUUUUGUUUGCGUGAACAUUUUGUGCCGUUUGUGGGUGCAAGAUUUGGCGUGGCUAAAUAAUUUUUGGCACAUCAAAGAAAAUUGUAUAAAAAUUAUAUUUUUCAAACUGUAAGGCCCAUUUUGUCGAAAUCUUUGUAUGCUUCGUACUCAACCAAAUUUGUUGGGCUCCACAACAUUCUCAGUAACACGUAACAGAUGUCUACAGUAUUAUACACGUUACUCGUAGAGUAUAAUGGUAUACUAGAUUCGUUGAAAAGUAUUUAACAGGCAGAAGGAAGCGUUUCCGACCAUAUAAAGUAUAUAUAUAUAUUGUUGAUCAUGAUCACUAGCCGCUCUAACGCCGCAAAGCCGCCCAAAAAUGCUAAGCACACACUUUUAAAAAAUGUCUUAAAAUUUGUUCGUUUUAAUAUUAUCUAUUUUCUAGCUAUUUUCUACAGCUGUACUAAAAAACAUUUUGACCACCACAUUCACGCCCACGCUUUUUUUUCCAUUUCCUCUAGCUGAGUAACGGGUAACACGGCUUUCUCUUGUUAAGUUGUUUUUUUUUUUAGAAACUUAAUAAAAAUGUUUAUAAUUGGGUAGGUGCAAGCAAAUUUAAGGAAUUCCAUUUUAUAAUCACAGUGAGCGCCAAUUUGCUCUAAUCGUUAGUUAUGUCUUCACGGUCAUAUGGACGGACAUAUGUACAUACUGACGGACAGGAGGUCUCCAGAUAAGUAUAUAUACUUCAUAGGAACGAAAAGCAUCCUUUAACCAGUUAAAUACUUUAUACUGAAGUAUAGUAUACCCUUUUACCAACGGGGUUUUAAAUACAUUUAUUUAUUUUUAAUAUAUGUAUAUAUAAGCAAAUUAACAAUUGAGUGUACAUUUAUAAUUAAAGGGUUUUUUCAUUGUGAGCAUGUUUUUUAUAUAUACUGAUAUGAAAAUUUGGGGCUUAGAUACAAACAUAAAAACCAAUUAAGUGUACCCAGAAUUGAACAAUUUGGAAACAUAAUUACAAUGAUGCUUGUAUGAAAAUCAACUUAGCUGUCACAAGUAAUUAUUUUGGUUUGUUAUUUAAAGGUUUAUUUUACAAUUAUAAAAAAGGACAUUUUAUUUUAUAUACGAAAACAUGUAUGGUAUUUACAAACAAAGUUUCAGAAAAAUGUGUAAAUGGCAGUUGAUUUGUUAAAAUGCAUGCUAAAACGUAAAAUAAAAAGACAUCUGUGUAUGAAAAUAUUUCCAAUGACAUAUAAAAAAAUUACAAUAUUUUAAAUUGAUAAUAUUAUAUUCCUUGUUAAUCAUUACAAUUAUUCUUAAAAUUCAGUUUAAAUAUAUUUAUUUUGUACAGAAAAUUUACGUUUACAAGAAAGUAAAUCGAUAUCAUAUAAUACCGGAAAUAACUUUGAUUAAUUAUUACAUAGUUAAAUACUAACCAUUUCACAAUGUUUCUUUGAACGCCAAUGUAUU